rnacentral:rRNA from 1 species
UACGUAGGGUCCGAGCGUUGUUCGGAAUUAUUGGGCGUAAAGAGCUCGUAGGCGGCCUGUCGCGUCUGCUGUGAAAGUCCGGGGCUUAACUCCGGGUGUGCAGUGGAUACGGGCAGGCUUGAGGUAGGUAGGGGAGACUGGAAUUCCUGGUGUAGCGGUGAAAUGCGCAGAUAUCAGGAGGAACACCGGUGGCGAAGGCGGGUCUCUGGGCCUGUACUGACGCUCAUGCACGAAAGCGUGGGGAGCAAACAGGAUUAGAUACCCUGGUA